rnacentral:rRNA from 1 species
UACGUAGGGGGCUAGCGUUGUCCGGAAUCAUUGGGCGUAAAGCGCGUGUAGGCGGUCCGGUAAGUCCGCUGUGAAAGUCGGGGGCUCAACCCUCGAAUGCCGGUGGAUACUGUCGGGCUAGAGUACGGAAGAGGCGAGUGGAAUUCCUGGUGUAGCGGUGAAAUGCGCAGAUAUCAGGAGGAACACCGAUUGCGAAGGCAGCUCGCUGGGACGUCACUGACGCUGAGACGCGAAAGCGUGGGGAGCAAACAGG